AGCCGUGCUGGGGUUCGAACCACGGACAUUUGCUAGGCUAGACGAAUGUGUUACCACUACUCCACCGGC
rnacentral:tRNA from 11 species